rnacentral:rRNA from 1 species
UACAUAGGGUGCAAGCGUUGUCCGGAAUUAUUGGGCGUAAAGAGCUCGUAGGUGGUUCGUUACGUCGGAUGUGAAAAUCUGGGGCUCAACCCCAGACCUGCAUUCGAUACGGGCGAACUAGAGUGUGGUAGGGGAGACUGGAAUUCCUGGUGUAGCGGUGGAAUGCGCAGAUAUCAGGAGGAACACCAAUGGCGAAGGCAGGUCUCUGGGCCAUUACUGACGCUCAUGCACGAAAGCGUGGGGAGCAAACAGG